GGCUCCGAACACCACACCCGCUCCCGGCCAGGAGUCACCGACGCCCUCAGGACGGGAGGACGCCGCGCUCCCACAAAGUUUCCCCGGGCGGAUUUUGCCACUUGAGGAACCCAGUGUCUGAAACCCGAGACCUCUGGCGCCGGACACCCUUCCGGAGCAUCGCCCUCUUCCUGAUCUGGAGAGACACCAACAGACGCCCCACGCACUGGACAGAAAGACUCUAGAUGCUAUUACAAGAAAACCUCUCCGUUUAGCAAUCGUGGAAGAAUUCAUCACAGGCAUUUGGGAAUUUCUCUGUUAUUUAAUAAAUUGUAUCUUUAUUACUUACUUAACCAUUACUUACUUGAUGGUUAAAGUAAAUAAAAAACUAAUACAUAUAAAACAAACAUUCUCAAAAUAUCCUGAAAACAAAAAGAAAAAUUUGAGUAUUUACAUAUUAAGGAAAUCUAGAUUUAUUCCACUAUGAUUGUUAAACAGAUUGCAAUAAGUAAAUAUAAUGUUGACUGGUGCCACUGUCGUAUUUCUUUUGAUGGUUUUUAGGAACAGAAAUGGGAUAGCUCAAUCAUGUAAACAUAAAGUAAUUUAUUAGGGGAUAACACAUAACUUGUGCAGUGCCCUGGGGCCCCAGUGUGCGGCUCAGCGUGCAGCUCAGUGUGCGGCUUCAGUGUGCAUCUGGGGCUGGAAGCUGGAUGCUGAGGAGCCAAGGUUGCAUGCUGUGCCUGGAAACUCAAGAGUCCCCGCUGCCUGCACAGGUGGAGUACCUGACCGUGUGCCUGAGUCGGAGAAGGCGUCGGCUUACUACAGCCUGGAAAACAUGCACUUCCAUUUAGCUUUCAGCGUCCAUCUGAACCUUUGGUAGUCUCAUUCAUCAGGAAAUAUGCCACUAUUCAGUACUGUGUGAGAACCCCUGUAUUGAAAGCUCAAGAGAAAAUAGUUGGCUCUUGGGUUUUAAUUAAUUAAUUUUUCCAUUUUAUUUAUUUUUAAUUGGAGUAUAAUUGCUUUACAGUGCUGUGUCAGUUUC
rnacentral:lncRNA from 1 species